rnacentral:rRNA from 1 species
UUAUAAGAGACAGCAGUCGCCACGGGAAUACGGAGGGUGCAAGCGUUAAUCGGAAUUACUGGGCGUAAAGCGCACGCAGGCGGUCUGACAAGUCAGAUGUGAAAUCCCCGGGCUUAACCUGGGAACUGCAUUUGAAACUGUCAGGCUGGAGUCUUGUAGAGGGGGGUGGAAUUCCAGGUGUAGCGGUGAAAUGCGUAGAGAUCUGGAGGAAUACCGGUGGCGAAGGCGGCCCCCUGGACAAAGACUGACGCUCAGGUGCGAAAGCGUGGGGAGCAAACAGGAUUAGAUACCCGAGUAGUCCCUGUCUCUUAUAA